CCAAAAUAUUUUGAUGCCAUCCCCUUUGGUUCAGCCCUACAUCCCUCUCAUCUGUGGAUGUCACCUUCCAGCUGUCUAUUUCUCAUCUUCAGAAACAGAAGAAAACACUUUGAAAAAUACUUAUGAUGCUAGAACAUUCCAAGAUGGCAGGUAAAUGGCUGGGACCCCAAAAUGUGAUUCCGCUCCCAGAAUGUUGACAACCAAGACUAACUGGUCAAAUUUACAUGAUCUGCUGAAGGAACUUUGAACUCUCAGAGAAAAGAGAAAAUGUCUUAUUCAACUUUGUCGCCUGUUCCUAGCACAGUAUGACGUAGAGGUGAUCAUUGCUUCCUGGAAACACUCAGGAAUUUCUGGAUCCCAAGUGGAGAAAGAAGCUUCAUAAAAAGAAUGCCCAGAGAAUGUGAGAUAUGUCCCCUGCAACAUGGGGGACUGAGGCAGUGGCUUCUGUAUCGUAUGUAAGAGAUCUAAAGCUAAUGAGCAUGGCUAAAGAGGUGUGUGGCAAAGUCAGCUCUAAUCCCAGCCUAGUUUAUUUUCUAA